rnacentral:rRNA from 1 species
CGCACGGGUGAGUAACACGUAUGGAACCUGCCCUAUGCAGGGGGAUAAGCGGAAGAAAUUCCGUCUAAUACCGCAUAACACUAUUUGGAGACAUCUCCAGGUGGUCAAAGGAGGCGACUCCGGCAUAGGAUGGCCAUGCGUCGCAUUAGCUAGUCGGCGGGGUAACGGCCCACCGAGGCGACGAUGCGUAGGGGUUCUGAGAGGAAGGUCCCCCACACUGGUACUGAGACACGGACCAGACUCCUACGGGAGGCAGCAG